rnacentral:rRNA from 1 species
UACAGAGGGUGCAAGCGUUGUUCGGAAUUAUUGGGCGUAAAGGGCGCGUAGGCGGUGCGGUAAGUCUGUAGUGAAAUCUCUGGGCUCAACUCAGAGUCUGCUGCAGAAACUGCCGUGCUUGAGUGUGGGAGAGGUGAGUGGAAUUCCCGGUGUAGCGGUGAAAUGCGUAGAUAUCGGUAGGAACACCAGUGGCGAAGGCGGUCUCCUGGGGCAUUCUUGACGCUGGAGGCGCGGAAAGCUGGGGGAGCGAACGGG